AGGAUGAACGCUGGCGGCGUGCCUAAUACAUGCAAGUCGAGCGCCCCUUUAAGAGGUGACAAUCAUUUGAUUGUCGGUUCCUAUGGGGAGCGGCGGACGGCUGAGUAACGCGUGGGAACGUGCCCCAAAGUGAGGGAUAAGCACCGGAAACGGUGUCUAAUACCGCAUAUGAUCUUCGGAUUAAAGCUUUAUGCGACUUUGGGAGCGGCCUGCGUCCUAUUAGAUAGUUGGUGAGGUAAAGGCUCACCAAGUCAACGAUGGGUAGCUGGUCUGAGAGGAUGACCAGCCAGACUGGAACUGAGACACGGUCCAGACUCCUACGGGAGGCAGCAGUAA
rnacentral:rRNA from 1 species